UAUACUUUUGCUUCUAAUCCUAAUUGGGUUCAUUAUAUUAGAAGAGUGUUUAAUCCUACUUAUAAAGGUUGUCCUCGCGCAACAGUUAAGAGUGAUAUUUAUAAAUUCAAACAUGAAUAUGAACAAUAUUUGCGUUAUUUAUUUACUCAUAUACCUAAUCGGAUUUCUAUUACUACUGAUAUUGGUAGAAGUGGUAAUGAUUGUGAUUACCUAACUGUUACAAGUCAUUGGAUAGAUGAAGAAUGGAUAAUGCAAAAACGCAUAAUUGCAUAUAGAAUAAUUAAUUCGCGUCACACAGGUAAAUUUAUAGCUAACACUGUUGCAGAUAUUUG